rnacentral:rRNA from 1 species
CCUACGGGUGGCAGCAGUGGGGAAUAUUGCACAAUGGGGGAAACCCUGAUGCAGCGACGCCGCGUGAGUGAAGAAGUAUUUCGGUACGUAAAGCUCUAUCAGCAGGGAAGAAAAUGACGGUACCUGACUAAGAAGCCCCGGCUAACUACGUGCCAGCAGCCGCGGUAAUACGUAGGGGGCAAGCGUUAUCCGGAUUUACUGGGUGUAAAGGGAGCGUAGACGGCAGCGCAAGUCUGGAGUGAAAUCCCAUGGCUUAACCAUGGAACUGCUUUGGAAACUGUGGAGCUAGAGUGCAGGAGAGGUAAGCGGAAUUCCUAGUGUAGCGGUGAAAUGCGUAGAUAUUGGGAGGAACACCAGUGGCGAAGGCGGCUUACUGGACUGUAACUGACGUUGAGGCUCGAAAGCGUGGGGAGCAAACAGGAUUAGAUACCCGAGUAGUC